GACGAACCGUGCGAACGUUAUUCGGAAUCACUGGGCUUAAAGCGCGUGUAGGCGGACCGACGCGUCGGCGUUGAAAUCCCCCGGCUCAACCGGGGAAGUGGCGUCGAUACGGUCGGUCUCGAGGGGCGAAGGGGGACCUGGAACUUCCGGUGGAGCGGUGAAAUGCGUUGAGAUCGGAAGGAACGCCCGUGGCGAAAGCGAGGUCCUGGGCGCCUGCUGACGCUGAGACGCGAAAGCCAGGGGAGCGAACGGG
rnacentral:rRNA from 1 species